AGGUGUUUUACCUCGCAGACGAAGGCCAGUCACAUGGUAAAGGUGCAAAUGCUGUGGUCAGCCAGGUUCACCACUACCUCAACACAUACGGUCUUGGCUAACAGCAUGCUCACUUUCAGUGUGACAACUGUUGCGGCCAAAAUAAAAACAACAUAGUUAUCUGGUACCUUCUGUGGAGAGUUCUUGUAGGUUUACACAGAAUCAUCACACUAAGCUUUAUGUUGAUAAGACAUACAAAGUUUACACUUUGGCAUCUGGAAGUCAAAGUGGAGAAACUUCAAUGCAGAAAUGUUGUCUGAUGUCGCUGCGUCUGUGGGGUUAUCGUCAAGGACGGGCCACAACAUCCCCCAGCUUGUGGGGGACACUUCCAAUUCUGUUGUUAUCUAAGACAGGAAGGAUUACCAUUCGACAUUGUUUCACCACAUAAAGAAUGUCACCAAAUUUCAUCAAUUUCCAUGUGUCAGCGGAUCAUUCCGGUGUUGUGGAGUGCAGGGAAUUUAGUGACUCACCAGUAGUCAGAAUCAAUCUCAGGAAGGUCUCGAAAGUGAAUGUUAAUGUGAGCUGUGACAACCUGCCAUAAGAAAUGUUUGCGAAAGGGCUUGAUCUGGACCAUCAGUGGUAUUUAUUUGAAAACAUUCGUGAAUUCUGCUGCACAGAUGAACCAAA